rnacentral:rRNA from 1 species
ACUGAGGGCACUGCCUUAGUAACGGCGAGUGAAGCGGCAAAAGCUCAAACCCGAAAUCUGGCAUCUUCGAUGUCCGAGUUGUAAUUUGAAGAUUGAAGGUUCAUUGGGUCUUGUCUAUGUUCCUUGGAAUAGGACAUCACAGAGGGUGAGAAUCCCGUGCGAUGAGAUUCCGUAUUGUAACCUUCUUUCGACGAGUCGAAAAAAAUUGGGAAUGCAGCUCUAAGUGGGUGGUAAAUUCCAUCUAAAGCUAAAUAUUGGCGAGAGACCGAUAGCGAACAAGUACAGUGAUGGAAAGAUGAAAAGAACUUUGAAAAGAGAGUGAAAAAGUACGUGAAAUUGUUGAAAGGGAAGGAUAUGAGAUCAGACUUGGUAUUUUGCAACCUUACCUUCGUGGUGGGGCCCCUGCAGUUUACUGGGCCAGCAUCAAUUUGGAUGAUGGGAUAAUGACUCAGGAAUGUAGCUUUACUUCGGUGAAGUGUUAUAGCCUGUGUUGAUACCGUCUAUCUAGAUUGAGGACUGCGUCUUUUGACAAGGAUGCUGGCAUAAUGAUCUUAUAUCACCCGUGGCCUUGCG